rnacentral:rRNA from 1 species
UACGGAGGAUCCGAGCGUUAUCCGGAUUUAUUGGGUUUAAAGGGUGCGUAGGCGGCCUGGUAAGUAGGGGGUGAAAUCCUGCGGCUUAACCGCAGGGCUGCCUUCUAAACUGUCAGGCUUGAGCACGGUAGAGGCAGAUGGAAUUCCCGGUGUAGCGGUGGAAUGCGUAGAGAUCGGGAAGAACAUCAGUGGCGAAGGCGGUCUGCUGGGCCGUUGCUGACGCUGAGGCGCGACAGCGUGGGGAGCAAACAGG